rnacentral:misc_RNA from 1 species
ACACGCAAGCGCGUGCUUGAAAACGCGCGAUCACAUCGAAAGCGUUGGUAAACAGCGCCUCCAGCAAGGUGGUAAAGAUCGCGUCAACAGAAUGAGUGAACGCGAAUUGACGCAGUUCCAUUUUUACCUAACUCACAGGUUGUCAUCACCGGGCUUGUCCCGGUGAUCCCGAUAGAUCGGGCACCGUGCUCCCAUAAUCGGGAUGGCCGGAACAAGUCCGGCCAU